rnacentral:rRNA from 1 species
AUUGAACGCUGGCGGCAGGCCUAACACAUGCAAGUCGAGCGGAGAGGCGGACGGGUGAGUAAUGCCUAGGAAUCUGCCUGGAAGUGGGGGAUAACGUCCGGAAACGGGCGCUAAUAACGCAUACUAGAAGAUGAGCCUAGGGUGGAUUAGCUAGUUGGUGGGGUAAAGGCCUACCAAGGAGACGACCCGUAACUGGUCUGGGAGGAUGAUUAGUCACAUGGGAACUGAGACACGGUCCACACUCCUACGGGAGGCAGCGGUGGGGAAUAUUGUCCAAUGGGCGAAAGCCUGAUCCAGCCAUGCCGCGUGUGUGAAGAAGGUCUUCGGAUUGUAAAGCACUUUAAGUUGUGAGGCGUUACCAACAGAAUAAGCACCGGCUAACUUCGUGCCAGCAGCCGCGGUAAUUU